AACAAUUUCAAAUCUGUCAUUGAGAAAACAACAGAUUCAUUUUUUAUUAGUUAGGUCGCCCUAUAGAUGCGCCUUUACACCAUAUCUUAUUUCCUAAAAUUAAUGACAAGAUAGAGAACACAAACAGACAAGCGGUGGUAACUUUGUUUGACACAUUCACAUUGUUCUAGCAAAAAAGGUGAAUAAUGUACGCCUUUACAGAGCAAAUACACAAAAAACACAGGAUGGAAGUAACUGAAUUGACGAUGUGACCGACGAUAAGCAACAAAUGGCUGCCGUUUCAUCGCCUUAGUAUAUUAAAGAAGGGCGAGUGACAACUUGAAUACAACAGCACGACUACCAUCCACUAUAGCUGGAAAAAGUGCGAGUCAGGAAAGUCCAAGAUUAAAACUUUAUAAUGAAGAAUCAUAGUUUCCUUCUGGUCGUAACCAUGGUUGUUCUUGUUCUUGCCAUCGCUGUUGAAGAAGUCCAACUUGUUUCGAAUUAUGGAAGGAGGUUUGGUCGCUCGCUCAAGAAAAAACACAAUCUUAGAAACAAGUUCGAACGCCAAGAGAAAUUUAACUCGUCACCUCUAGUUCAAAAUGGAUAUCAAGACGGAAAUCCGUUUCAUGAAUAUCCGCUGGUAGCCAGAGAAGAGCAGGAUUUUUAAGAGGAGUGACUAAAGGAAGAAAUAGACCGCGGAAUUUAUCUUAAAUUGUAAAUGAGCGCUAACUCGCUCGCACUCUAUAAUGUGAACUUCAUGAUGAAGGUGAAAAUAAAGCUCUGGCAAAAGAA